GCUCCCUCUAGGGUCGCUCGGA
rnacentral:miRNA from 1 species